rnacentral:rRNA from 1 species
CACGUAGGGUGCAAGCGUUAAUCGGAAUUACUGGGCGUAAAGCGUGCGCAGGCGGUGAUGUAAGACAGUUGUGAAAUCCCCGGGCUCAACCUGGGAACUGCAUCUGUGACUGCAUCGCUGGAGUGCGGCAGAGGGGGAUGGAAUUCCGCGUGUAGCAGUGAAAUGCGUAGAUAUGCGGAGGAACACCGAUGGCGAAGGCAAUCCCCUGGGCCUGCACUGACGCUCAUGCACGAAAGCGUGGGGAGCAAACAGG